GCUUAAGUUUGUCUGUCUGUCAACAUGGCCUAGCUGUCUCUCAUAGCCAUUUACUGUAGACUAUAAUUAAUCAGGUGUUUGUUUGGCCUGUGUGUGUGUGUGUGUGUGUGUGUGUGCGUGUGCGUGUGCGCGCGCGCGUAAAUCACAGAGAGAUGCGGAGAAUGCUGAGAGAAUGUUUCUUUAAGACCCAUUACCUUCCAAUCCGACAGAGGGGGAUGCUAUGGUAAGGUGGUGUAGCGUUGCUCCCCGCUCCCUUAUGCCGUUUGUGGAAAGGAGAGAGACGGGGGGAACCAUAUAUCCGGGUUUUUGAAAGAGGCAAAAUCAGCGGAGAUGGAUCCGAAGAAUAUUUAACGUCAGAUUUGAGCAAUAUGGAUGUCGCGUGAUGAAUGUGACGACGAAGAGAUUCGUUACAGAAUCGCCCACCAAAAAGGACCAAGCAGCGUGGUAACCUGGAGUAGAGGGUUCUGGACUCCUGGAUUUGGGAGGAGAUUUUGGACGGUAAGGGACCCUGGGCACAGGCUGGGGAAUAUUGCCGCACCAGGGAAGAGCUGGAGGCAGCUAAAGCCCGAGCGGUGGCGAUAUGAGAAGUUAGCACGGCAGCGCAACAGGCACGAGAGGCAGCCCCCCAAAUAUUUUUUUUAGGGGGGGGGGGCGCACUUGGAGUGUGGCAGAGUCAGGUUGGACACCUGAGCCGUGGCGGGCGUCGUACUGGUCUGGCACCGUGUUAUGUGGCUGGCGGGCGUCGUACUGGUCUGGCACCGUGUUAUGUGGCUGGCGGGCGUCGUACUGGUCUGGCACCGUGUUAUGCGGUCAAGCGCACAGUGUCUCCAGUGCGCGUUCUUAACCCGGUGCGCUACAUCCCAGCGCCUCGCCAGUGCCAUGCGAGAGUGGGCAUCCAGCCAGGGCGUAUUGUGCCGGCCCAGCGUGUUUGUUCUCCGGUAUGCCGCUUCGGCCCAGGGUAUCCUGCUCCGGCGCUGCGUGCUGUGUCCCCGGGGCGCUGGGAGGGUACAGUGCGCCCUAUGCCUGACUUCCGCCCGUGCCGGGCGAAUGUGGGCUUUGAGCCUAAGGGAGAGGUGCAAGUGGUGAGCACCAGAUCUCCAGUGCUCACCCACAGCCCGGUUCAACCUGUGCCUACACUCUGGAGGGUCCGGGCUAAAGUGGUCAUCCAGCCUGGAGGAGUGGUGCCAAGGCUGCGCACCAGAUCUCCAGUGCUCCUCCACAGCCCGGUCCAUCUGGUGCCUCCUCCACGCACCAGGCCUCCCGUAGGUCUCCCCAGCCUGGUGGGUCCUGUGGCAGCCCCACACACCAGGCUGUCUCUCCGUCUCCUCCCUCCAGGUUCUCCAGUCUGUCAGGAGCUGCCAGAGCCGCCCGUCUGUCAGGAGCUGCCAGAGCCGCCCGUCAGUCAGGAGCUGCCAGAGCCGCCCUUCACUCCGGGGCUGCCAAAGCCGCCCUUCACUCCUGCGCCGCCAGAGUCGCCCUUCACACUGGCGCUGCCGGAGUCGCCCUUCACUCUGGCGCUGCCGGAGUCUCCCGCCUGUCCGGCGCUGCCAGAGCCGCCCAUCAGUCAGGAGCUGCCAGAGCCGCCCUUCACUCCGGAGCUGCCAAAGCCGCCCUUCACUCCAGCGCUGCUGGAGUCCCCCGCCUGUCCGGCGCUGCCGGAGUCUCCCGUCUAUUCGGGGCCUGAUGCAAGGGUCCCCCGUCCGAGGUCGGCGGCGAGGGUCGCUGCUCCAAAGGCGCCACUUCAGUGGGCCAAGACUAUGGUGGAGUGCGGUCCACGCCCCGCACCAGAGCCGCCCCGCGGACAGAUGCC
ensembl:lncRNA